UCCAAUAGCGUAUAUUAACGUUGUUGCAGUUAAAAAGCUCGUAGUUGAAGUGUGGGUGAUCGCUAUUGUGAGACUUCGGUCUCUCGAUAGUAAGUCACCCCCUUCCAGUAUCCAGUAGUGGGUAUUCACUUACUUACUAUUGUGUGUUGGUCCUUUACUGUGAGAAAAUUAGAGUGUUCAAAGCAGGCGUUUGCUUGAAUAGAUUAGCAUGGAAUAAUAAUUGAAGGCUUUCGUGUUCGAUUUGAUUGGUUUGUUCAUGGAAGCAAGGUUAAAAGGAACAGUUGGGGGUAUUCAUAUUCACUAGUUAGAGGUGAAAUUCUCGGAUUUAUGGAAGAUG
rnacentral:rRNA from 1 species